GAUGAACGCUGGCGGCGUGCCUAAUACAUGCAAGUCGAGCGAACGGACGAGAAGCUUGCUUCUCUGAUGUUAGCGGCGGACGGGUGAGUAACACGUGGAUAACCUACCUAUAAGACUGGGAUAACUUCGGGAAACCGGAGCUAAUACCGGAUAAUAUUUUGAACCGCAUGGUUCAAAAGUGAAAGACGGUCUUUCUGUCACUUAUAGCUGGAUCCGCGCUGCAUUAGCUAGUUGGUAAGGUAACGGCUUACCAAGGCAACGAUGCAUAGCCGACCUGAGAGGGUGAUCGGCCACACUGGAACUGAGACACGGUCCAGACUCCGACGGGAGGCAGCAGUAGGGAAUCUUCCGCAAUGGGCGAAAGCCUGACGGAGCAACGCCGCGUGAGUGAUGAAGGUCUUCGGAUCGUAAAACUCUGUUAUUAGGGAAGAACAUAUGUGUAAGUAACUGUGCACAUCUUGACGGUACCUAAUCAGAAAGCCACGGCUAACUACGUG
rnacentral:rRNA from 1 species